rnacentral:rRNA from 1 species
GACGAACGCUGGCGGCGUGCCUAACACAUGCAAGUCGAACGGAGUAAGUAGCAAUACUUACUUAGUGGCGAACGGGUGAGUAACGCGUAGACAACCUGCCUCUAAACUGGGGACAACACUGCGAAAGUGGUGCUAAUACCGAAUGUGGUAUCUUCGCUGCAUGGCGAAGAUAAGAAAGAUGGCCUCUAUGUAUAAGCUAUCGUUUAGAGAUGGGUCUGCGUCUGAUUAGCUAGUUGGUGAGGUAAUGGCUCACCAAGGCGACGAUCAGUAGCCGGUCUGAGAGGAUGAACGGCCACACUGGGACUGAGACACGGCCCAGACUCCUACGGGAGGCAGCAGU